UGGGGAAUAUUGCGCAAUGGGGGAAACUCUGAACCAGCCAUGCCGCGUGAAGGAUGACGGCGCUACGCGUUGUAAACUUCUUUUGAAUGGGGACAAAUCACCGGUCGUGCACCGGUGUUGAGGGUACCAUUAGAAUAAGCACCGGCUAACUCUGUGCCAGCAGCCGCGGUAAUACAGAGGGUGCAAGCGUUAUCCGGAAUUACUGGGUUUAAAGGGUGCGUAGGCGGUCCCAUAAGUCUGUCGUGAAAUGCAGCGGCUUAACCGUAUGAACUGCGAUGGAUACUGUGGGACUUGAAUAAGGUUGAGGCAGGCAGAAUGUGGCAUGUAGCGGUGAAAUGCUUAGAUAUGCCAUAGAACACCGAUUGCGAAGGCAGCUUGCCAAGCCUUUAUUGACGCUGAGGCACGAAAGUGUGGGGAGCAAACAGGAUUAGAUACCCAAGUAGUCCCUGAGCGGGCUGGCAAGGCGCAU
rnacentral:rRNA from 1 species